GAUGAACGCUGGCGGCGUGCCUAAUACAUGCAAGUCGAGCGAACGGACGAGAAGCUUGCUUUUCUGAUGUUAGCGGCGGACGGGUGAGUAACACGUGGAUAACCUACCUAUAAGACUGGGAUAACUUCGGGAAACCGGCGCUAAUACCGGAUAAUAUUUUGAACCGCAUGGUUCAAAAGUGAAAGACGGUCUUGCUGUCACUUAUAGAUGGAUCCGCGCUGCAUUAGCUAGUUGGUAAGGUAACGGCUUACCAAGGCAACGAUGCAUAGCCGACCUGAGAGGGUGAUCGGCCACACUGGAACUGAGACACGGUCCAGACUCCUACGGGAGGCAGCAGUAGGGAAUCUUCCGCAGAGGGCGAAAGCCUGACGGAGCAACGCCGCGUGAGUGAUGAAGGUCUUCGGAUCGUAAAACUCUGUUAUUAGGGAAGAACAUAUGUGUAAGUAACUGUGCACAUCUUGACGGUACCUAAUCAGAAAGCCACGGCUAACUACGUG
rnacentral:rRNA from 1 species